UCUUGUUCCCUAGCUUCUUGCCCAACUGAUACAUGCAUUUACAAUACAUUUAGUUUUGUAUCAAGGGCCAUAAUCUACGUGCCAAUCAUAAAUAUAUGAAACUUUAAUUGAUUCAACUCCCUCAUUUCCUAAAUCUUUUCUUUUCUUUCUCUUUUUCUUUUUCUAUUAAUUAACUCACCAUUUAUGUGUAUUAGGGACUCCCUUGCAUGAGUACAAGGUCCCCUUAGCUUAAUCUAGGCUUAAUACCCUAUUAUGGCAUGAAAUUCCUUAUUUUUUCCACCCGGAUGAACAGUAAUCCGGACCGACAGCCGGUUACUUCAUCCCGGGUUUGAUCCACUUUCCAGACUCCAAAUUUGAUGAAAUUUUUACUUAACAUUCUACACUCAUAGGGGAUUCCAAAAAGGUAACAUGCAUCACUAUCGGAGGCCGUUUGGCCCCCAAAAUAAUUCGCCGAAGUUGGGACUUCGACACAGUUUUUCCGUAGUGCCGGAAAAAUUUGUCGAAAUCCGAUUCUUCCUCUUUUAACCACCUCUACAACCCUUAUCCGACCCCUUUAGACUAUAUCCAUCCUUUGUAUAGCCUAAUGUCAUC
rnacentral:lncRNA from 1 species